CCCGACGUGGCCUCGGACGCCUGGCGCAGGGUCCCCUGAGGCUCUCGUGUAGAGCCCGCCCUCUGGCCACCUAGCACAGAAGCGGAUGUGAACUUGGACCAUCAAGGCUGAAGGACUCCUGGAUAAUUCUCUAUCCCCUUACUCCCCACUAAUCCCCUGCAGACGACACGGAGAGGGCAGAUUCGCUGGAGGUCACUCUGAACUGCCCUCUCCAUCUCGAGGUGGUGUGAAGACAUGGAAAUAAGGGGCGGAAUCCUACUGAAACGCGCUGCGUGGUUUUCUGAGUGUCUGACCUCUCUGCGUCCCAGCUUUCCCCGCCACGGUGGACGUGACAGUGCCCACUUAGCAGAUAAGAAAACUGAGCCUAUGGUGGAGAAUAUUCCUUGGUGGAAGGACCCAGGGCUGAGUUUGAAUCCCUGCUCUUUUUAACGAGCCCAAGCCCAUCCCUGGCUGGAGGGAGACAUCCUGAACACAGCAGUGACAACAACCAAGCCUGGCUGGGGUCAGAGUGGCCUCAUUCACCUCCCAAGGCUCAGAUAAGUCAGGCCACUUCACCAAGAGCCUACAGUAGCAGAGGCGUGGCCUGAACACACUCGCACCAUCCUUGCAGCAGGCUCCACCUCAGCCCAGGUCUCGAUGUCAUCAAGGAGGACAGCAAAAGCUACUUAAGAGAAGGCCAGGGCCGGGUGCGGUGGCUCACGCCUGUAAUCCUAGCACUUUGGGAGGCCGAGGCGGGCGGAUCACGAGGUC
rnacentral:lncRNA from 1 species